rnacentral:rRNA from 1 species
AGAGUUUGAUCCUGGCUCAGGAUGAACGCUAGCUACAGGCUUAACACAUGCAAGUCGAGGGGCAGCAUGGUCUUAGCUUGCUAAGGCCGAUGGCGACCGGCGCACGGGUGAGUAACACGUAUCCAACCUGCCGUCUACUCUUGGACAGCCUUCUGAAAGGAAGAUUAAUACAAGAUGGCAUCAUGAGUCCGCAUGUUCACAUGAUUAAAGGUAUUCCGGUAGACGAUGGGGAUGCGUUCCAUUAGAUAGUAGGCGGGGUAACGGCCCACCUAGUCUUCGAUGGAUAGGGGUUCUGAGAGGAAGGUCCCCCACAUUGGAACUGAGACACGGUCCAAACUCCUACGGGAGGCAGCAGUGAGGAAUAUUGGUCAAUGGGCGAGAGCCUGAACCAGCCAAGUAGCGUGAAGGAUGACUGCCCUAUGGGUUGUAAACUUCUUUUAUAAAGGAAUAAAGUCGGGUAUGCAUACCCGUUUGCAUGUACUUUAUGAAUAAGGAUCGGCUAACUCCGUGCCAGCAGCCGCGGUAAUACGGAGGAUCCGAGCGUUAUCCGGAUUUAUUGGGUUUAAAGGGAGCGUAGGUGGGUUGUUAAGUCAGUUGUGAAAGUUUGCGGCUCAACCGUAAAAUUGCAGUUGAUACUGGCUGUCUUGAGUACAGUAGAGGUGGGCGGAAUUCGUGGUGUAGCGGUGAAAUGCUUAGAUAUCACGAAGAACUCCGAUUGCGAAGGCAGCUUGCUGGACUGUAACUGACACUGAUGCUCGAAAGUGUGGGUAUCAAACAGGAUUAGAUACCCUGGUAGUCCACACAGUAAACGAUGAAUACUCGCUGUUUGCGAUAUACAGUAAGCGGCCAAGCGAAAGCGUUAAGUAUUCCACCUGGGGAGUACGCCGGCAACGGUGAAACUCAAAGGAAUUGACGGGGGCCC